CGGACGGGUGAGUAACGCGUGGGUAACCUGCCUUGUACUGGGGGACAACAGUUGGAAACGACUGCUAAUACCGCAUAAGCGCACAGCUUCGCAUGAAGCAGUGUGAAAAACUCCGGUGGUAUGAGAUGGACCCGCGUCUGAUUAGCUGGUUGGUGAGGUAACGGCCCACCAAGGCGACGAUCAGUAGCCGGCCUGAGAGGGUGACCGGCCACAUUGGGACUGAGACACGGCCCAA
rnacentral:rRNA from 1 species